rnacentral:rRNA from 1 species
CCUACGGGAGACAGCAGUGGGGAAUAUUGGGCAAUGGGCGCAAGCCUGACCCAGCAACGCCGCGUGAAGGAAGAAGGCUUUCGGGUUGUAAACUUCUUUUAAGGGGGAAGAGCAGAAGACGGUACCCCUUGAAUAAGCCACGGCUAACUACGUGCCAGCAGCCGCGGUAAUACGUAGGUGGCAAGCGUUGUCCGGAUUUACUGGGUGUAAAGGGCGUGCAGCCGGAGAGACAAGUCAGAUGUGAAAUCCACGGGCUCAACCCGUGAACUGCAUUUGAAACUGUUUCCCUUGAGUGUCGGAGAGGUAGUCGGAAUUCCUUGUGUAGCGGUGAAAUGCGUAGAUAUAAGGAAGAACACCAGUGGCGAAGGCGGAUUACUGGACGAUAACUGACGGUGAGGCGCGAAAGCGUGGGGAGCAAACAGGAUUAGAUACCCCAGUAGUC